GACGAACGCUGGCGGCGUGCUUAACACAUGCAAGUCGAACGAGGAAGCCUAGCUUGCUAGGUGGAUUAGUGGCGAACGGGUGAGUAAUACGUGAGUAACCUACCUUUAACUCUGGGAUAAGCCUUGGAAACUGGGUCUAAUACCGGAUACGACCAAUCUCCGCAUGGGGUGUUGGUGGAAAGCGUUAUGUAGUGGUUAUAGAUGGGCUCACGGCCUAUCAGCUUGUUGGUGAGGUAACGGCGCACCAAGGCGACGACGGGUAGCCGGGCUGAGAGGGUGACCGGCCACACUGGGACUGAGAUACGGCCCAGACUCCUCCGGGAGGCAGCAGUGCGGAAUAGUGCACAAUGGGCGCAAGCCUGAUGCAGCCACGCCGCGUGGGGGAUGACGGCCUUCGGGUUGUAUUCCUCUGUUAGCUGGGAAGAAGAGAAAUUGACGGUACCGGCAGAGAAAGCGCCGGCUAACUACGUG
rnacentral:rRNA from 1 species